rnacentral:rRNA from 1 species
GAUGAACGCUGGCGGCGUGCCUAAUACAUGCAAGUCGAGCGAACAGACGAGGAGCUUGCUCCUCUGACGUUAGCGGCGGACGGGUGAGUAACACGUGGAUAACCUACCUAUAAUACUGGGAUAACUUCGGGAAACCGGAGCUAAUACCGGAUAAUAUAUUGAACCGCAUGGUUCAAUAGUGAAAGACGGUUUUGCUGUCACUUAUAGAUGGAUCCGCGCCGCAUUAGCUAGUUGGUAAGGUAACGGCUUACCAAGGCAACGAUGCGUAGCCGACCUGAGAGGGUGAUCGACCACACUGGAACUGAGACACGGUCCAGACUCCUACGGGAGGCAGCAGUAGGGAAUCUUCCGCAAAGGGCGAAAGCCUGACGGAGCAACGCCGCGUGAGUGAUGAAGGUCUUCGGAUCGUAAAACUCUGUUAUUAGGGAAGAACAAAUGUGUAAGUAACUAUGCACGUCUUGACGGUACCUAAUCAGAAAGCCACGGCUAACUACGUG